ACUUUUCCUUUCUCUGGUGGGGGGUCGGAGUCAGUUUGUAACAGAAAAAGUGUGACGAUUGCAAGAGUGCCUAAAUGUAAAAAUUUAUUGUUUUCCAGAAAGCACAAUCAAACAACCCUCUCUGGGUUCUUCAUAGAAAAAAUCCAGGAAGGAUUAUAGUCCGUAUUUUCCGAACUAUGAGCCGCACCGGACUAUAAGCCACAACCCCAAAGUUU